UCAUUUGCAAUUGAUGGUCGAGAUUACAAUUUAUUUUUCCCUCUCAUUCAUUCACUUCCUCUCCCACCCCUCUUCGACACCACCUGUUAGUUCAGUCAAAAAUAGAAAAAACUUUGCCCGAUUUUCUUCCUCUCCCACUCCUUUUCCACCCCAUUCAACAUCAUCUGCCACUGUAAGCCCAACAGCCAAUAGCCAUCAGCCACUGUAAUACAGAUUCUACCAUAAGGAAAAAUAAAAAAUAAAAAUUUCCCUUCCAAAAAUACAGAUUCAACCGUAAGAAAAAAAAAAAAAAAUUUCCCUUCCAAAAAUUUUUCCCUCCCAUUUCCUUCCUCCCCCACCUCUCGUCCACCAUAUUCGACACCACCUGUGGAGUUCAGCAACCAUUCGACACCACCUAUGAGUUCAGCACCCAUCAACCAUCAACCACCCAUUUCCCACCGCGAACCACAUACAAUUUUCAACAGCCAUCAACCACCCGCCAAAAGAGCCAUGGCCUAGGGUUUGAUCUUGCAUUAUUUGAUUUGUUUCAAUAAAUUUAUGAAUUUUUUUUUUCAUUUUUUGGUUUGGAUCAAUUUUUUUGUCUAUAUUUAUUUGUAUUUAUAUAUUUAUUUGUUUUGUUGGAUUCUGUAUCAUGAACAUUUUGAUUCUGUUCGAUGCAAUUCUGAUCUCAGACAGAGAUUGAGAUGUUCAUUUCCUGGAGGCUUUGAUUUCCACAGGGUAAUUAUUUACCAUCUCCAUACAAAUUCACCUCAAAUAUGGGUGACACUGCUCUGUUGUAUCAGGUAUGUUGAUGAUCUGUGAAAGCUUUACCUUGCAUUUCUCAAACUUUAUAAUAAUUGUUUAAUUUCAUUCUAGUUUAGUUCUUUUCUGUAGAUAUGUGUAAGUGUGAAGGUUAAUGCUCUAAAGGUAAAGGGAAUUGGAACUACUUUGCAACUUGGAACCACAUAAUUUUUUUUUUUUUUUUUUUUUGGGAUUGUAGCAUCCAUUAUUCUGCUAACAUUGCCUAUUGGGUGGUCUUUCCUUUGGAUCAAAUGGCAAUAUAUUAGCAACUGCAGCUAUAGGAUAUUGAGGAUUUUCAAUUGUUCUAACAUCAAGAAGAUACAAAAGUUUUUUGGUCAUCCAGUGAGUGUCUUGCAUUUCAUAUUGCUUUAGUGUAAACACUUUUUAAUGAUAUUGUGUCCAACUAGUUAUUAUCUGUGUCCUGUUUAUUUUGCUCCAGUUUAUAUAAGUUUCUCAUCUGCUGUUGGGAAAGAUAUGUUGCGAUAUGGAAUAUAGGUGGUAGCAAGAAGAUGGUCUUCUUAUUUGCUAGUUGAAAUUGUGCUUGGGUUCUAUGGUUAGCUUGCUUGAUAUUCUAAGGUUAGCAACCUGUGCAUAAGACAUAAGGGUCAUAAUUCGUUUGUUUGAUGAGUUUCUCAGGUCUUUUCAAGUGUUUGCUCUGCUUGGGAUGUUUUGUUCAUAUACUUGAAGGCUUUCAAAUAUCACUAUUAAGGUUUUCUUAGAUCUUUUAUUGUUUUAUUAAGAAUGCAUGUCAACUAUAUUCUUUGGUUAAUGGAAAUAUGCUUAGUUUGUACAGUAAUAGUUGAUAUGAAAUGGCUGGAUAACUUUCUAAAACAUGUGUGAGUAUGUUAGAGUAUUACAUGUUUUAGUCUCAAAUUUUAGUAUAUAUGAUCAUAUUACUAGUUGAUGGUUUCUAAUCAUUUUAAGCUUUUUAUUUUUAUUUUUUUGUUUUUUGAACAUUUAUGGCCGUUUCAUUCCCUUGUGAAUUUUUUUUUAUAUUGAUGAAUUGAUGAACAUUUUAAUCCCACGUGAAGUUAUUUCCAAUUGCUGAUUCCAAAUAUAUUGUAUCAUGAUAGGAAAAGUGAUGCUGAGUUCAUGAAGAACGAAGGUGGGAGAAGUAUACUUCGUGUAAUGUAAUAAUUGAAAAGUAAUAUAAGUUGUACUGUAAUGUAAUAAUUGAAAAGUAAUGUAAUGUAACAUGCUCAGUAUUUUGCCAAGUUUUAUACUGCCACAUGGUGUUGGAGUGUCAUAUAAAUUGUAUCUACACUGAUUCAAAUUGUUGGAAAGGAGAAUGUGAGAGGAUGAGCAAAAGAGAGUGAGGCAAUGGCAGGAACAUUUUGUGAACUUAUUGAUCUUGGAACAGCAAGUGUUGAGCAAGGACUUCUUCCUCAUUUUCCUUCUCUCAUCAGGAAGCCUAUGAAGCCAGCACUUUGAAGGAUGGCCAUUAAUUGCAGCAGCAGUUCCUAUCAGUAUCACUAAUUGCAGCCUUAGGCCAUAUCAUAAGGCUACAAGGAAGGGUGGCUGUCAUGACCCGUCCAAGUUUCCUCCCCGGAACCCUAGACAAGCCCUGAUCCCAGGGAAAUAUCACCGAAUCUUCCAACGGAAAAUCCGGCAGUAUCUCCCCUAAGGGUAGGACUUACCACAAAUUUCUUGCACUGAAAAUGCACUUCUAUAUUCAUCCCCUUAUUCCUCCCACAAUACUACAA